AUUGAACGCUGGCGGCAGGCUUAACACAUGCAAGUCGAGCGGAGAUGAGGUGCUUGCACCUUAUCUUAGCGGCGGACGGGUGAGUAAUGCUUAGGAAUCUGCCUAUUAGUGGGGGACAACAUUCCGAAAGGAAUGCUAAUACCGCAUACGUACUACGGGAGAAAGCAGGGGAUCUACGGACCUUGCGCUAAUAGAUGAGCCUGAGUCGGAUUAGCUAGUCGGUGGGGUAAAGGCCUACCAAGGCGACUAUCUGGAGCGGGUCUGAGAGGAUGAUCCGCCACACUGGGACUGAGACACGGCCCAGACUCCUACGUGACGCAGCAGUGGGGAAUAUUGGACAAUGGGGGGAACCCUGAUCCAGCCAUGCCGCGUGUGUGAAGAAGGCCUUAUGGUUGUAAAGCACUUUAAGCGAGGAGGAGGCUACUGAGACUAAUACUCUUGGAUAGUGGACGUUACUCGCAGAAUAAGCACCGGCUAACUCUGUGCCAGCAGCCGCCGUAAAAC
rnacentral:rRNA from 1 species